GAUGAAGAACGUAGUGAAAUGCGAUAAGUAGUGUGAAUUGCAGAAUUCAGUGAAUCAUCGAAUCUUUGAAUGCACAUUGCGCCCCUUGGUAUCCCGAGGGGCAUGCCUGUUCGAGCGUCAUUUCACCACUCAAGCCUGGCUUGGUGUUGGGCGACGUCCCCUUUAGGGACGCGCCUCGAAACGCUCGGCGGCGCGGCACCGGCUUUAAGCGUAGCAGAAUCUUUCGCUUUGGAAGUCGGGGCCCCGCCUGCCGGAAUACCUACUUGUAAGGUUGACCUCGGAUCAGGCAGGGAUACCCGCUGAACUUAAGCAUAUCAAUAAGCGGAGGA
rnacentral:misc_RNA from 1 species